GCCGGGUGCGGUGGCAUGUGCCUGUAAUCCAAGUCACUGGGAGGCUGAGGUUGGUGGAUCAAGUGAGCUGAGGAGCUCUGGGCUGCAGCACACUAUGUUGAACGGGUGUCCACGCUAAGUUCGGUAUCGAUAUGGUGUUCCAGGGGGAGCCCGGGACCACCAGGUUGUCUAAGGAGGGGUGAACCUGGCCCAGGUCGGAAACGAAGCAUGUCAAAUCCCCCUGUGCUGUACAGUAGGGAUAAUACCUGUGAGUAGAUGCUGCAGUGCAGCCUUGCGAAAACAUCGAGACCAAUCUUUU
rnacentral:SRP_RNA from 1 species